AAGAACUAUCAGUGAAAAUGGAUUCUUCCUAACAGCCUCGGAAAUUUGAUCUAACGGGGUUCUACCGCGAAAAUUAUUGUCCAAUCUUCUACCAUUAAGUUGUGUACCAAGACAAAUGGUAACCAGGAUGGACCCAGAUACCAGCUCUGAAAUAGCUGAUGCCAUCUUCUUCUUGCCAACUUUGUCAGGCCCCGCAAAUAAUAGCCAAAUGUCCCCUUUUGAUCCAGCACCCUGACGUUU
rnacentral:misc_RNA from 1 species